GAAACCGUUUCCACCCAUCCCACAAAUCUCUCCCAUAUCCUUAACCCCCUUUCCACUAUAUUAAAUCCUAUAUCAGUUUUUCCCUUCCCUCACCCAUCUGCAGUCAAUCUGUCUUCGUCAACUUCUAUUCAAGUAAUCAAAAUUCUCCAGCUUCAAGAAUCUGCCUUUCAGCCUGGUGAACAUCACAAUCAAAAUUCAAUUCACAGAGGUAUAUUUCCCAUCCAAAUUUUUAAAACGUGAAGCAUUGCAUUCUGCUCCAUACACAUCAUUAUACUUCACUCCCCACAUAAUUCAAUCCACAAGCAUCACCGAUCAAAUCGCACAAUCAAAACCAAUCGAACCUUUUAAGAAUCAAAAUCAAACUAAGAACGAAAAGAAACAUACCUUGAAUAAGAACCGAUCUCUUCAGUUGAAAUCGGGGUUAAUCGGGGGCUGACCAGAGGCAGUACCUCCCGGCAGCGACGGCGGCGUCGGGUGCAGCGGCUGGAGACAACUCACGGCGACGGCGCAGCGGCGCGGACGGCAGCAGCAGCUCCUCCCGGCGACAGCAGCCUCUCCCCGACGAGCAGUAGCAGCAGCGGCGUCCGGCGUCGUGAGGCGAACGGAAGAAGCCGACGGGAGAUUGGGAGAAAUUCCAGUCGGCGAGAGAGAAGAGAAAAGAAGAAGAGAGAGGAGAGAGAGAGAGAGAGAGAGUCAGACGUGGGUGGGGGGAGUACACUUGAUUUUGGGCUUUUGUUAUUAAUUGGGAUUGGCCUCAUUAAUUAGAAUUGGAUGUUUGGGCUCCAUUUAAUUGUUGCAAAGCUAUUUUAUUUACCUUUUGGUAUUUUGAUAAAUGACAACUAUUGGAUAAAAAAAGGCAGCUAAUUGUCUAACCAAAUGCAAACUUCUUGAAAAAGAUUUGAAACACUUUUAAAUAGAUGGACUGCAUCUUGUGGACUAAUUUUGUGAUUGCAGUAUUAGGUUUUAUAGUUUAUAGUUUAAAGUUUAAAGUUUAAAUUAUAAAAGUAUAAUUUUAUACUAUUUGAUAUAUUUUUAUUUAAUAAAAUAUACACUUCUUGAUUAUGAUUGUUUUCUUGGAAUAUAUUUCUUAUGAUACAAUAAUACUCCAUUUUAAUACUAAUUUUUGUUUUGCAUACAAGAAUAUUUAGUUAUGAGUUAAGAAAUUAAAUAAUGGUUGUUUCAAGUGGAUAUGCUUGCAUGUUGGAUUAAUUGAGUCGUCUAAUAUAAACUACUAUAUAUAUUAUGGGUUAUAAAAACAAUAAACUAAAAAAAUAAAGAAGAAAGAAAGAAGACGAUGGGUUACAAUUCACACUUGAUAUAACUAACUUCGUUCCUCCAAUAUUACGCAAUCCAACAAUAUCACCUAAUACACAUUUAUUGGAAGGAACAAAAUACAUCGUAAAUUAAUAUUUUGUAUGCAAUUUUAAAAAAAUAUGCGUUAAUACUUUAUGAAGUACUAAAAUUGAAUAAUCUACAUGUAAAUCAAGAAAAAUGCUAACAUGUUAUAAAGUGCUUACAAAAAGUGAUUAUUUUAUCAAUAUAAUCUUUUACAAAUAUUGUUAAAUCAUCAUCCUUUUAUUUUAAAAAUAUAAAGAAAGAAUUACACAGUUAGCUUUCAAUAUUGGUUCUCCUUUGAUUUCUUUAUUUUGUUGUUAUUUAUCUUUUUUAUUAUUGUAUUUUUCUUAAAUAUGAGAUUUUAUGAUUUAGAAUUUAAUUAAUAGUACAAACUUUUAUACAAUUGAUAAUUUUUUAAUUUGGUGUUGGGCUUUAUAUGUAUGGUUUACUAAAAGUAAGGUCAUAAUCUGAUUUCUAAUUUAUUCGAUUUUAUUUAAUAUCUAUCAUAAAAAUCAACAUAUUUUUAGUUUUAUAUAUUAUUAAUUUAUUUAAUAUUUUAUAUUUCUAUUUAGUAUAUUAAAAUUAUUUAAAAUUUAUAUAUUUAUAUAUAUAUAUAUAGAUAGGGUAGUGUUAAUCUCCUUUUCCUCCCUUAGAUUUAAGUUCCUUCUUAAUGUGGGUCGUUGGAUUUGGUGGAUGGAGGGACAGGAUGAAAUCCCAUUUUUUAAUCCCGUGUUGCAUUAUAUGGUGGAUUUUGUGCAUUAUAUGGUGGAUUGUGUGCAUUAUAAGGGUAAACUAGCAAAACAACCAAAUUGAAAACCGCCCAAAACGGAAGGAGCGAAUUUUCAGCGAGAUUUUGAUACAACCUUCCAUCUACUCACUCUCUCUCACACUCCAAACGUCUAUCCCUCUCUCUACGUCUCUGCAAUUCGUCUUCCCAUUUUCCACCACUCUUCAAACCCUAGCCGCCACUGUUUUUCGUCGGGUAUCUCCAGAAAGUGAUCGUUUUCGUCGGUUUCACUCUCCAACUCUCACUCCGGUAGCGCGCGAACAAAUUGUUGAAGCCGUCGACAAGGAAUCCCACCGGAUCAGAAGCAAUUGAUUUUCGCCAAAAAGCAGCUUGAAGAUGGCCUAACAAUUGCUGAUUACAACAUACAGAAAGAGUCGACUCUGCAUUUGGUAUUGAGGCUUAGGGGAGGUAUCAUUGAGCCUUCGCUUAUGGCAUUGGCUAGGAUCUACAUCAAGUAGUCUUCGUUGGCGCAUUCGUCGACAAAUUUUGUAAAUGGGUGGAAUGGUGAAUGUAAAAUUCUUGUGUGCAUUAUUUGAUUGUUUGGGUACAUUAUUAAUUAAUGAUUACACAUUAUUUAUCAUGUAUUAUCCAUUAUUUGACUGCUUGUGUAUAUGAGUGAUUGGGUGAAUGCAAUAUUCAUGUGCGCAUUAUUUGAUUGAAUAUGUGCAUUAUUGUAGGGAAUAGUGUGCAUUAUUCAUUUGUGUAUUAUUUGCUAUCAUUAGUAGAUUAUUGUAGGUAGUUGUGUACAAAUAUUUUUUUUGUUUAAUUUUCAGUUGUGCAUUAUUUCCUGCCAUAUGUACAUUGUUGUAGGGAGUGGUGUACAUUAUGUUUUUUGUAUAUGCAUCGGUUUUAUACAACGUCAGUGGUUGAGAUAAUGUAAUAUUCAUUGGUGCAUUAUUUGUUUCCUUUUGAACAUUAUACAGUUAAUAUUGUGCAUUAUAUAAUAUACAUGCAAUACAUUAUUGAUUUUUGGACAGCAGUGAAGCAGCCGAGGGUGGACAUUGACGAAGCGGUGUAUGGAGCAAGUUUAAUUUAGUCCCCAAGGGUUUAGCAAUCCCGUGGGCUAGGGUGUACUAUGGAGUAAGUAACACAACCGUCGGCAAAGUCCACGAGUUCCAGUCAUACCUCUAGGGUUUAGAUAUCAUCAACGUUAGGGAGUAGUUUUAACUAAUAGACAUUAUGUAAAAAUAUUUCCGUGUAAUGUAUUUUAUUGACCCAGUAAUGGACGAUAUGUGUCCUGUAAUGGAUAUGUUUCAGAGACGUUUUUGUUCU